GGUUUUCACUACCAUGGACGCCACCAAGAAGAGGAAGAUGGACGAAAACGGCCUCGUAUCCACCGACGGCGACUCCCUCACCAAGCUUGCUCCCGAAGACGCCCGCAAAAUAAUCGAGCCCUUCGGUCACGAUCAACUUCUCGAGAUCCUCCAGAACGCCGCCGUCCGCCACCUCGACGUCCUCGACGCCAUCCGAUCUAUCGCCGACCGCGACCUCACCCAGCGCAAGUUGUUCAUCCGCGGCCUCGGCUGGGACACCACCACUGAAGGGCUUCGCCAGCUCUUUUCUGCCUACGGCGAGCUCGAAGAGGCCGUGGUGAU
rnacentral:lncRNA from 1 species